GGCUAUAGAUGGAACGGCGGACCAGUUUAUAUGACACUGAUCUGUAAUUUUGUAUAAUAUGAUCACUUGGUAUUUCUCUCUAUGUACGUGCAACGAAGAUGACAGACAGUGGACAUCAAAAGGAGGAAAAACAAGUUAAACAUAGACGGGAUAGUUUUCCAGUUUCGUUGAUGAAACAUUCAUCACAGUUCAAGAAAUUGGAGGUCACCAGACACUUCUAUCAAAAGGAAUUUGUUUAAAGAAACACAAAAGUUUAGAAGGCAGACAAAAUGGCAGAAGUUACUACAACCACAGAGAACAUUAGUGAAGGAUACAUUUUGAGGAAGAUCUUUAGAGAUAGCUUUGGUUGAACGGAAUAAUGGAAACAUGUAUUUAGGAAUAUUACAUUUACAAAGAUGAUUGUUCGAAAAGUUAUGAAGAGUUUGAAGAUGAAUAAUUCCAACUAUACAUGCAGAUCUGCAUGUCACUAAAAGAUCAGAUUACUAAACGAUUAGUACCAGAUGCAUUAUAACGAAGCUUCAAGUUGUCUCUCAGUUUGUCUGUAAUAAAUAAGAGCAUUGGAAUUUUCUUUUAAAUUCUUUAAAUUUUGUAUCAUGUAAUACUUUUAAGAUUAUUUUUAUAUAGAACAAAAUUCAUAUUGAAUGUAGAAUAAAUUAAUUCUGUGUC